rnacentral:misc_RNA from 1 species
UUUGUAAAAAACAGAAGCCUUUUCUCGGUGCAAGCCAGUCAUGCACAUUUCUAUGGUGUAAACAUGGUCACAAGAGAUUGCAGGAUCUGCAGAUGCACAGUAAAUAUGCCAUUUAUGUGGGCUGUCAUACCCACCCAUCACACAAGCCUUACUUUCAGCACCAAGCUUCCCAAAAUAACUAUCCAGGACACAAACUUCUUCAGAGAAACUGCGAUGAGGA